GGCGGGGUAGCUCAGUUGGUAGAGCAAAGGACUCAUAAGCCUUGGGUCGCGGGUUCGAUUCCCGCCCCCGCUA
rnacentral:tRNA from 1 species